GACUAACGCUGGCGGCGUGCCUAAUACAUGCAAGUCGAACGGGAAGAUUACUUAGCUUGCUAAGCAAUCUUCUAGUGGCGGACGGGUGAGUAACACGUGGGAAUCUGCCUUUUACUGGGGGAUAACAGUGGGAAACCACUGCUAAUACCGCAUAAGAUCUAGAGAAACUCUUUAGAUGAAAGGUGCAAUUGCACCGGCAAAAGAUGAGCCCGCGUCCCAUUAGCUAGUUGGUGAGGUAAAAGCCCACCAAGGCGACGAUGGGUAACCGGCCUGAGAGGGUGACCGGUCACACUGGGACUGAGAUACGGCCCAGACUCCUACGGGAGGCAGCAGUAGGGAAUCUUCCGCAAUGGGCGCAAGCCUGACGGAGCGACGCCGCGUGAGCGAAGAAGGCCUUCGGGUCGUAAAGCUCUGUUCUUGAGGAAGAAUAAGCUGGAGAGUGGAAAGCUCUGGCGAUGACUUACUCAAGGAGAAAGCUCCGGCUAACUACGUG
rnacentral:rRNA from 1 species